rnacentral:rRNA from 1 species
UACAGAGGUCUCAAGCGUUGUUCGGAUUCAUUGGGCGUAAAGGGUGCGUAGGUGGCGCUGUAAGUCGGGUGUGAAAUUUCGGAGCUUAACUCCGAAACUGCAUUCGAUACUGCGGUGCUUCGAGGACUGGAGAGGAGACUGGAAUUCAUGGUGUAGCAGUGAAAUGCGUAGAGAUCAUGAGGAAGACCAGUGGCGAAGGCGGGUCUCUGGACAGUUCCUGACACUGAGGCACGAAGGCCAGGGGAGCAAACGGG